rnacentral:tRNA from 2 species
AGACAUUUUAACUAUAUAAGUAUAUAUUUUGAAAAUAUAAAAAAGAUUUUUUUCUAAAUGUCUU